CGGGGGGCUGCAGCAAGGAAUAUUGUGCAAUGGGCGAAAGCCUGACACAGCGACGCCGCGUGGGGGAAGACGGCCUUCGGGUUGUAAACCCCUUUUCUCAGGGAAGAAUAAUGACGGUACCUGAUGAAUAAGUCACGGCUAACUACGUGCCAGCAGCCGCGGUAAUACGUAGGUGGCAAGCGUUAUCCGGAUUUACUGGGCGUAAAGAGGGUGCAGGCGGCUUUCCAAGUCGAAUAUAAAAUCUCCCGGCUUAACUGGGAGGGACUAUUCGAUACUGUUGGGCUAGAGGGCAGCAGGGGGAGGUGGAAUUCCCGGUGUAGUGGUGAAAUGCGUAGAUAUUGGGAGGAACACCAGUGGCGAAGGCGGCCUCCUGGGCUGUUGCUGACGCUGAGGCCCGAAAGCGUGGGGAGCAAACAGGAUUAGAUACCCUGGUAGUC
rnacentral:rRNA from 1 species